rnacentral:rRNA from 1 species
CCUACGGGAGGCAGCAGUGAGGAAUAUUGGUCAAUGGGCGCGAGCCUGAACCAGCCAAGUCGCGUGAGUGAAGAAGUAUCUCGGUAUGUAAAGCUCUAUCAGCAGGGAAGUAAAUGACGGUACCUGACUAAGAAGCCCCGGCGAAUUACGUGCCAGCAGCCGUGGUAAUACGUAGGGGGCAAGCGUUAUCCGGAUUUACUGGGUGUAAAGGGAGCGUAGACGGUGCUGCAAGUCCGGAGUGAAAGUCCAUGGCUUAACCAUGGUACUGCACUGGAAACUGUGGAGCUUGAGUGCAGGAGAGGCAGGCGGAAUUCGUGGUGUAGCGGUGAAAUGCGUAGAUAUUAGGAAGAACACCGGCGGCGAAGGCAGCCUGCUAGACCGUAACUGACGUUGAGGCUCGAAAGCGUGGGGAGCAAACAGGAUUAGAUACCCCUGUAGUC